rnacentral:lncRNA from 1 species
AGCUUAGAUCAAUAGAACAGAGCAUGCCAUGCAUGCAAUAUUCAGACUAUAGUUGGACGUUUGUUUUAUCGCCUAUAAGUACCAUGCGAACUAAUUAAUGUCCGCCACCAAAACCUCCACCGCCUCCGGCUCCUCCGCCAAAUCCACCUCCUGCUCCGCCACCGGCACCACCACCAAACCCUCCUCCGGAGCCUCCACCUAGACCACCCCCACCUCCAGAUCCACCUCCAAAACCUCCACCGGCGCCACCUCCAGAUCCACCUCCAAAUCCACCUCCAGAUCCACCUCCAAAUCCUCCACCAGAACCUCCACCAAACCCUCCACCCUUUCCGCCUCCAAAUCCUCCUCCGCUCCCACCACCGGCACCACCCCCAACUCCUCCGCCUGCACCACCUCCGGCACCUCCACCAAACCCUCCUCCCUUGCCACCUCCUAGCCCUCCACCGGAACCUCCCCCUAGCCCUCCACCGGAACCUCCUCCUAGGCCUCCACCGGAACCUCCCCCUAGCCCUCCACCGGAACCUCCUCCUAGGCCUCCACCGGAACCACCUCCUAGGCCUCCACCGGAACCUCCCCCAAGUCCACCACCAGCUCCGCCUCCUAGGCCGCCACCGGAACCACCUCCCAGGCCUCCACCGGAACCUCCCCCUAGCCCUCCACCAGCACCUCCCCCAAGUCCACCGCCAGCUCCGCCACCAAGUCCACCGCCACCACCAAGCCCUCCGCCUCCACCGAGCCCACCACCGCCAAAUGUGUCUUUCUCAAGCUUCCGGCCAUCGGCAAUCUGCACAACAAACAACCCCAACAACAAGAUCACAGCAAACACACCACCAUUUCUGAAAUUCUUCCCCAUUGUAAUUUUCUGAUCUAUAAAAUUUAAGAUGAAAUAUUAAUGGUGUGUUAUUCUCCGAUAAAAGCUUCGAUUCUAUUUAUAGAAAUGGAGUAGGAGAUGGUUCAUAAAUGCAUG